AUACGGAGGAUGCGAGCGUUAUCCGGAUUUAUUGGGUUUAAAGGGUGCGUAGGCUGUGCGUUAAGUCAGGGGUGAAAUGCAGUCGCUCAACGACGGAGCUGCCCUUGAUACUGGCGUGCUGGAGAACGGAUGACGUUGGAGGAAUGAGUGGUGUAGCGGUGAAAUGCUUAGAUAUCCCUCAGAACACCGAUUGCGAAGGCAUCUGACGAAUCCGUCACUGACGCUGAGGCACGAAAGCGUGGGGAUAGAACAGGAUUAGAUACCCUGGUAUUCCACGCCGUAAACGAUGAUGACUAACCGUCGGCGAUAGACAGCCGGUGGCCAAGCGAAAGCGAUAAGUCAUCCACCUGGGGAGUACGUCGGCAACGAUGAAACUCAAAUGAAUUGACGGGG
rnacentral:rRNA from 1 species